rnacentral:tRNA from 1 species
GUUCUUAUAGUUGAAAUACAGCAACAGCUUUUCGUGUUGUAGGUCAUGGUAUAGAGUCCAUGUAAGAAUA